UCUCUUCCUUCAUCUCAUUUUUGUCUCUACUCUUGUCUCUGCCAAAUCAGCUCCUAGGAGGCCACCACCACCACCACAAGUGACAUGUUCUUCCACACCACCACCUGUGGUCGCUCCUUCAACACCCCCUUCCACACCACCAAUUACGGUAGCUCCUUCGACAUCACCAGUUGCGGUUGAUCCAACGACACUACCACCUUCAACACCUCCAUCCACACCACCUACUUCUACACCACCAAAUGUGGUAGCUCCCUCCACACCACCUCCUUCGACACCUCCUUUCACUACACCACCUACGGUCGCUCCUUCCACACCACCACUUGUUCAUGCUCCAUCAACACCACCGCCUUCAACACCUCCUUCCACGCCACCAACCGCGAUAGCUCCUUCGACACCACAAGUUGUGAUUGAUCCUACAACACUACCACCUUCAACAACUCAUUCCACACCACCAUCUGUUGAUGCUCCUUCAUCACCCCCUUCUACACCACCAACUACGGUAGCUCCUUCGACACCACCAUCUUUGGUUGAUCCUACGACACCACCACCUUCAACACCUCCUUCAACACCACCACCCGUUCAUGAUCCUUCAACACCCCCUUCCACACCACCAAUUGCGGUAGCUCCUUCGACACC
rnacentral:lncRNA from 1 species